rnacentral:rRNA from 1 species
GACGAACGCUGGCGGCGUGCCUAAUACAUGCAAGUCGAGCGAAUCUUUUGGGAGCUUGCUCCCGAAAGAUUAGCGGCGGACGGGCGAGUAACACGUGGGCAACCUGCCUAUAAGACUGGGAUAACUUCGGGAAACCGGAGCUAAUACCGGAUACGUUCUUUUCUCGCAUGAGAGAAGAUGGAAAGACGGUCUCGGCUGUCACUUAUAGAUGGGCCCGCGGCGCAUUAGCUAAUUGGUGGGGUAAUGGCUCACCAAGGCGACGAUGCGUAGCCGACCUGAGAGUGUGAUCGGCCACACUGGGACUGAGACACGGCCCAGACUCCUACGGGAGGCAGCAGUAGGGAAUCUUCCGCAAUGGACGAAAGUCUGACGGAGCAACGCCGCGUGAACGAAGAAGGCCUUCGGGUCGUAAAGUUCUGUUGUUAGGGAAGAACAAGUACCAGAGUAACUGCUGGUACCUUGACGGUACCUAACCAGAAAGCCACGGCUAACUACGUGCCAGCCGCCGCAGUAACAC